UACGAAGGGUGCAAGCGUUACUCGGAAUUACUGGGCGUAAAGGGUGCGUAGGUGGUCGUUUAAGUCCGUUGUGAAAUCCCUGGGCUCAACCUGGGAAUGGCAGUGGAUACUGGACGGCUAGAAUGCGGUAGAGGGUAGUGGAAUUUCCGGUGUAGCGGUGAAAUGCGUAGAUAUCGGAAGGAACAUCAGUGGCGAAAGCGACUUCCUGGACCAGUACCGACGUUCAGGCACGAAAGCGUGGGGAGCAAACAGG
rnacentral:rRNA from 1 species